rnacentral:rRNA from 1 species
AUGACGAGCGCGCCACCAGCGAACCCCGGAGAUCCAAGCGGUCCAGGCCGGAGGCGAAGGCGGCGGAGCCUCCGGCACGCCGGGACCCCGGCCCCUCCGCCCAAGCGUCCAGCGGCGAGGGUUGCGCGACCAUCUUCGCCCCCUUACGGCCAUCGGGAUUCGGCGGAUGUGACCAUGGUUGCUCCUCCGCCCAAGCCCGAGCACUCCGUCCCCCCUAAUUGGCAUCGCACCGCGUACAGACUCCACAACCGCGUCGUCCGGGAUACCAGCAACCGCAAGCCCGCCCCCAGUCGCUACGACAACGGGAUAUAA